rnacentral:rRNA from 1 species
UGGGGAAUAUUGCGUAACGGGGGAAACCCUGACGCAGCGACGUCGCGUGCGGGAUGAAGGUCUUCGGGUUGUAAACCGCUUUUGAUUGGGAGCAAGCUCCUGGGUGAGUGUACCUUUCGAAUAAGCGCCGGCUAACUACGUGCCAGCAGUUGCGGUAAUACGUAGGGCGCAAGCGUUUUCCGGAUUUAUUGGGCGUCACGUGCCUGUAGGCGGUUCGUGGCGUCUGGUGUGAAAGCCCAUCGCUUAACGGUGGGUUUGCGCCGGGUACAGGCGCGCUAGAGGGCAGUGGGGGAGACUGGAAUUCCCGGUGUAACGGUGGAGUGUGUAGAUAUCGGGAAGAACACCAAUGGCGAAGGCAGGUCUCUGGGCUGUUACUGACGCUGAGAAGCGAAAGCGUGGGGAGCGAACAGG